rnacentral:rRNA from 1 species
UGCGCAGGUGGGUUUGUAAGUCAGUGGUGAAAUGCUGCCGCUUAACGGUAGAAUUGCCAUUGAUACUGCAAAUCUUGAGUAUGGUUGAGGUAGGCGGAAUGUGUUGUGUAGCGGUGAAAUGCAUAGAUAUGACACAGAACGCCGAUUGCGAAGGCAGCUUACUAAGCCAUUACUGACGCUGAGGCACGAAAGCGUGGGGAGCGAACAGGAUUAGAUACCCUGGUAGUCC